AAUUACUUAAAAAGUUAAAUAUACAACCAAGACUCCUUUCAACUACAUAAAUUCCCAAACAUUCUCUACUCAAAUUCAAUUUCAAUCCCCAAAUUCUAAAUGUCUCGUCCCUUUUUUUCCAUUCCAUCUGAAGCGAUAGCUAGAUUCAUCACAUUUCUCUCAAGCAUCAGCAUGCCUCCUUCCAUGGCUACGUACGUCGGAUUUAAUCUGAAGCAUCAACAAUUUCUCAUUCUUUCAGUUUGCUCUCUCUUCUACUUCCAACUGGAUAAUGUAGCUGCAAUGGCUCACCAAUAUGUACGAAGUAUAGUAGGCUCUGUUCAGAGUUGCAAUGACCAUAGCACCUUCUUGACUCAGCUCUCAGUUAGCACCAAAAUCCUUUCCUGGGUCACCUGAAGUUGUCACUUUAGAAUGGUGGAUUUCCCGAAGCUAUAGUGACAUUGAACGUUUUACCUGGUCUAUUUCCCGAUUAUAUUCAGGGUGCAUACAGGAGGAGACCUGUUCCAAGUUAAUUCUCAAGCUGAUGAUGUUAUUCUGAAACAUUGUGGCACCAUAGUGAUGCAAUAAUGUGUUGCUCUGUAAAAAUGAAUGUCAGCAUACUUCUUCUAUGCUUGUUCUGAACCACGAAUUAAUCAAUAUUAAGUAUUUAUCCAAGAUUCUUUCUAGAGAUGAAACAAUACAUAAUUAGUCAGUGAACUUUUGUAAUGCAGGCAUCUGCAGUUUUUAGGUUUGCAAACCAGGCUGGUCUUGACAUGCUUGAAACCAGUUUGUUAGCUCUUCAAGAUAUAAUGCUUGAUAAGAUUCUAGAUGAAGCUAGUCGUAAGGUCCUCCUAUCGGAGUUCUCCAAGAUCAUGCAGCAGGGAUUUGCCUAUCUGCUAGCAGGAAUAUGUGUAUCUAUCGUGGGUAGGCCAAUAUCAUAUGAUCAAGCUAGCAAGGAAGGUUCUGAACAACGAAUACAAUUUUCAGUUUAGUUGUGCAAAUCGUGAAACUAUGGAACUGUAUUCACAUGCGAAAGCACAAGAAGAAGAAAUUUUAUAUCUUCGAGAACAGAUUGCUCUUGCCAGGAAUCUCAACUCUUGAAUGAGAAAUAAGGACUUGAGAAGAAAUCUUUUGAACUACACAUGAUUUGUUUUCCUUGCACUAGAUGAGAAGCAGAACGAAGCUAUAAUAUCUGCUCAAAUGAACUUACUCGGAGGAAAGAUGAUCUUGAAGAACACCGAAGAUUAGUGAAUGAGUUAAAGGUAAGCAAUCAAAGGAGAUAGGUAUUGGCAGAGUCGCAUUCAACCUAGGUUGACUGUGAAUUCUUGUCCCUUUUUUGGGAAUAUAAGCUUCAGUUUAAAAAAAAAAAUUUCUCUACUUGUGGUUCUAGAUGUUACUGCACAAUAUUGGUUGCUUUUCUGCAGUUCUUAACAAUAAUUUUAUUGUUAAGUCAUCUACCGAUCAAAACUGAGGGAGAAGAUAUAUUUUUCAUUUCCUUACAUCAACCUUAGUAUAGUCUCUCUUUUUUCAAUUCUUCGACUCUAAUUCAUGUAUAAUCGAAUAUAAAAUUAACUUAUCUGGUGCAUAUGUUUAUAGUUUGAUGACCUUAACAGUGACAAACACCAAGUGAAGAGAGAAGGAGAAGCUCUUUGUACAGAUAGUAGCGAGAAAUCAGAUGUUGAGACUGAAUUGUGUUUAUAGUACCACCGAAGUGAAGAGUAAGACGUCUCUAAAAGAAUUGAUUGGUAUGGUAUCCUCUUGCCUAUAUGCAGUUAAAGGGGUAGUUAAUCAUUUGUCAAAGUGUUCAUGCUAUUUUCUCAUUACUUGUAUAGGUAGUCUUGCAUAAAUUACUUGAACAUGUAGUCGUGCGUAACAAGUCGUCAGGUAGUCCACAAAACAGGUGCUUGCACAUUCCGCAGUAGCAGAUUUUUCAUUCAUUGUGGUUGGAAUUCUAUGCUUGAAAGUAUUUUGGAGAAAUUCCUCUGAUAUGCAGACCAUUUCUAGCGGACCAACCGAUGAACGUAAGGUCGCUGAUCCAAAUAUACAAGAUUUGGUUUGAAUGGGAGGUUAUGGAAAGAAUGGUCAUAGAGAAAACAGUAAGAAAACUCAUGUUUAGUGAAGAAGGCAAAGAUGUGAAAAAAAGAGUAACAGACACGCAGCAAAGCAUAGUUGCUGGUAUGCAGAUUGAUGGUAUUUGACAUAAGAAUAUGAAAGAAUUUUUGAAGAAAGAAUUGUUGAAUCUGCUAUUGGGGCAAUCUUCAUUUUGCCUUGCGAUCAUGGCUCCCUCCGCCAACACCUGCUGUUGGGGCAAUCUUGAGCUCAAACCUAUAUCAAGCAAGUGUUAGAUGAAUUUUGUUGCCUGCUACCUUCACAAGACAACAAGUCCUUAAUCACAAAAGGAAGAAUAAGAUCCUCUCGAUAUUACAUAUGAUCGUGAUUCAAGUUGUCAUACUUUCACUGACUCAAUUUUUUUGUUUCUUCAUUGUUGCACACAUUCUUUUUAUUUGUUAAUUUUUUUGUUUCUUCAUUGUUGCACACAUUCUUUUUAUUUGUUUUGAUAACUUGAACACAAUCUUGUAGGUAGUUCAUAUUUUUCCUACUAGAGGACAAUAAAGUGGAUGUAUUAAGUUUUUGAUUGUUCUUAUAAUUGAAUGACUGUCGUUUGAGUUUGGUAA